rnacentral:rRNA from 1 species
UACAGAGGGUGCAAGCGUUAUUCGGAAUCACUGGGCGUAAAGCGCGCGUAGGCCGCUCGGUAAGUCUGAUGUGAAAGCCCUGGGCUCAACCCAGGAAGUGCAUUGGAUACUGCCGAGCUAGAGUACAGAAGAGGACAGUGGAAUUUCUGGUGUAGAGGUGAAAUUCGUAGAUAUCAGAAGGAACAACAGUGGCGAAGGCGACUGUCUGGGCUGUUACUGACGCUGAGGCGCGAAAGCGUGGGGAGCAAACAGG